rnacentral:rRNA from 1 species
GACGAACGCUGGCGGCGGGCUUAACACAUGCAAGUCGAACGGAAAGGCCCUGCUUUUGUGGGGUGCUCGAGUGGCGAACGGGUGAGUAACACGUGAGUAACCUGCCCUGGACUUUGGGAUAACUUCAGGAAACUGGGGCUAAUACCGGAUAGGAGCUCCUGCUGCAUGGUGGGGGUUGGAAAGUUUCGGCGGUUGGGGAUGGACUCGCGGCUUAUCAGCUUGUUGGUGGGGUAGUGGCUUACCAAGGCUUUGACGGGUAGCCGGCCUGAGAGGGUGACCGGCCACAUUGGGACUGAGGUACGGCCCAGACUCCUACGGGAGGCAGUAGUGGGGAAUAUUGUACAAUGGGCGGAAGCCUGAUGCAGCAACGCCGCGUGCGGGAUGACGGCCUUCGGGUUGUAAACCGCUUUAGCCUGUGACGAAGCGUGAGUGACGGUAAUGGGUAAAGAAGCACCGGCUAACUACGUG